UACGUAGGGGGCUAGCGUUGUCCGGAUUUAUUGGGCGUAAAGCGCGUGUAGGCGGCCAGAUAGGUCUGCUGUGAAAACUCGAGGCUCAACCUCGAGCUGUCGGCGGAAACCAUCCGGCUAGAGUCCGGAAGAGGAGAGUGGAAUUCCCGGUGUAGCGGUGAAUGCGCAGAUAUCGGGAAGAACACCCGUGGCGAAGGCGGCUCUCGUGGGACGGUACUGACGCUGAGACGCGAAAGCGUGGGGAGCGAACAGG
rnacentral:rRNA from 1 species